rnacentral:rRNA from 1 species
GACGAACGCUGGCGGCGUGCCUAACACAUGCAAGUCGAGCGGAGUCGAUCGACGGAAGCCUUCGGGCGGAAGAUGGUUGACUUAGCGGCGGAUGGGUGAGUAACGCGUGGGCAACCUGCCUCGAAGACCGGGAUAACAGACCGAAAGGGCUGCUAAUACCGGAUGUGGUCAAGGAUCCGCAUGGAUCUUUGAUUAAAGGGGAAACCCGUUUCGAGAUGGGCCCGCGUCCUAUCAGCUAGUUGGUGAGGUAAAAGCUCACCAAGGCGACGACGGGUAGCCGGCCUGAGAGGGUGACCGGCCACACUGGAACUGAGACACGGUCCAGACUCCUACGGGGGCAGCAGUGGGGAAUCUUCCACAAUGGGCGAAAGCCUGAUGGAGCGACGCCGCGUGAGCGAAGAAGGCCUUCGGGUUGUAAAGCUCUGUCUGGAGGGACGAAGGAAGUGACGGUACCUCCGGAGGAAGCCACGGCUAACUACGUG